CCACGCCGUAAACGAUGGGCACUAGGUGUGGGAGGUGUCGACUCCUCCCGUGCCGGAGCUAACGCAUUAAGUGCCCCGCCUGGGGAGUACGGCCGCAAGGCUAAAACUCAAAGGAAUUGACGGGGGCCCGCACAAGCAGCGGAGCAUGUGGUUUAAUUCGACGCAACGCGAAGAACCUUACCUGGGUUUGACAUGUUCCUGACCGCCGUGGAAACACGGCUUCCCUCACGGGCAGGAUCACAGGUGGUGCAUGGCUGU
rnacentral:rRNA from 1 species